UCGAGAGACUCAUUCCUCUCAUUCGUAAAUUCCACCUGAAAUUGAGACAGAGAAGUUGGGAGAGGAAAUAAAGGCGGCUUCUGCUGUAUCACCUGAAACAGCAAAACUGAGAGAUUGAAGAGCAGAUUUCAAGAGAAGACGAAAGAUUUAUUGAUCUGGUAACACUGUUAAGAUGAUGAUGAAGUUGUUGUUGAUCUCAGAGAGGAUUGAAUGUUGAUUUGAAUCACAAAUUAAUGAAGAAAAGAUGGGUUUCUACCAUGACCAGAUCGAGAAAUUGAGAGAUGAUGAAGGGAUUAAAGAAGAUGAAUCUGCUGGUGAAGAUGGAUGUUGUGAAUCGAAGAGCUGAAAUUGAAUUAAGGGUUUGAGUUUGUUUGAGAACGAGAAGACCCUGAUGCUGUUGAUUCGGAGAUGAAGAAAUCUAGGGUUUGGUGGAUGUAUCCGCUGCUAAAAAUGGGUUCUCGCCAAACUGAAAUUGUGGUAGUGAUUGAUUGAAAUUAUGGUGUUUGCUUCUAAAGCUGAAAUGGACCUGGUAAUACAAAGGAACUGAAAUUGAGAUGCAGAGAGCAAAGGGAGAAAGAACUGGUACCAUGUGAAAGCUGGUGAUGUUGGUGCUUGUGUGGUUGGGAGAAGACAGUCCUGCUACUGCCAUUGAUGGGUAUGACUCAGUUGAAGUCACGAGCAGAUGCAGGAGAAGUUGAUACUGGUUCCAAAUUGGCUGUGGUGUUACUGCAGUGGACCAAAGCCGAAGGAGAAGUUGCAAAAACAGUUUGCAAGUCAGAUGGCAGGAGUAAGUUGAAGUUCAGAUGCUGGGAGUUGGUUUGCAGUGGAAGCAGGCAGUGUUACUAAGGGUUAUGAAGCAGCAGAAGUUGGUUGUGUUGAGUUGCUGCUUAUGGUGGAUGAAUAUGCUGCUCAGAUGGCAAGAGAACAAGAAAGGGGUUGUAGCUGUGUGUGCAAUGGGAAGCAGCUGUUGCAGGAACAAGAAUUGAUGGCAACUGGAUCUUAACUGAGAUGACUCUGGUGGCAUUGGACUGUGAAUGGUUUGAGAUUACAGCUGAGUUUAGCUAGUGAGCUAUAUUGCAAAGAAUGGACUUGGUGUUGCUGUUGAAUUCAAGUAAGAAGCUGAUGCAAGCAGGAAGCCACAGAAGGUGAAUGAAGAGGUUGGUUUUGAGCUGGACUUGUGCAGGCAGAGGUGGUUACAAUGCAACUGGUAGAUAUGCUGUAAUGUUUGUGCUUGAAGUAACAAAUGAAGCUGCAGUCCAAGUGAAGAUAAGAAAGUAUUGCAGGUAAUGGAAUUGGAAGGCUGUGACAGAAUGGCUCAAGAUGCUGUUGUUGUUGCAGUAAUGACUAGAACAUGAAGCUGAAAUGGUGCAGCUGGUUGUGGAGAUGAUGCAGUUGCCAUUGAUAGUCACGAGUUGUGUAUGAAGUUAAUGAUCGCAGAGAAGAAAAAGGAAAAGAAUGGAAGCUGCAGUUGUUUGAGUUAUGGAUUACAGGGAGUGAAGCGAAUGAAUGAAACUAUAGAUAGAUGUAUGUUAGGGAAUUGUUGCAGGGAAAGAAGAAUGACCUGAACUUGGCCUGAGAGAUGCCCUGAAUAUAAACAGAACUCGGCCAAUGCCCGAUCCAAGCGAGUUGACCCAGCGAUCCAGGUGAUGACCAGUUUUCAGGUGACCGACGGCAAGAUUCCGUCGAUGGCGUCAGCAAUUCCGCCGAACACUUUUGGACAGAGAUUUUCAUACGGGUAUUAUCCACACAUGGGCUUGGUUGACUAAUUGGAGAUGAGUUUUGAGAAGACCUAAUAUCCUUUUGGAAGCGGAGAAGCAUAUAAAUAGAAAACUUUUUCUCUAAACCUAGAUAUCUCCAUAAGGGAGACUACUACUUGCUUUCUAGGGUUUCACAUGAUAGAUUCUUCUAAACUCUUUGUGAUGAUUUCCAAAAACCCAAGUAGUUGAUUUAUUUUUAUUGGUUGAAGAUGUAGUUUGAUUUU